rnacentral:rRNA from 1 species
UGUUACCCGCUGAACUUAAGCAUAUCAAUAAGCGGAGGAAAAGAAACCAACAGGGAUUGCCCUAGUAACGGCGAGUGAAGCGGCAACAGCUCAAAUUUGAAAUCUGGCUCUCGGGCCCGAGUUGUAAUUUGUAGAGGAUGCUUUUGAUGCGGUGCCUUCCGAGUUCCCUGGAACGGGACGCCAUAGAGGGUGAGAGCCCCGUCUGGUUGGAUGCCAAAUCUCUGUAAAGCUCCUUCGACGAGUCGAGUAGUUUGGGAAUGCUGCUCUAAAUGGGAGGUAUAUGUCUUCUAAAGCUAAAUACCGGCCAGAGACCGAUAGCGCACAAGUAGAGUGAUCGAAAGAUGAAAAGCACUUUGAAAAGAGAGUUAAAAAGUACGUGAAAUUGUUGAAAGGGAAGCGUUUAUGACCAGACUUGGGCUUGGUUAAUCAUCUGGGGUUCUCCCCAGUGCACUUUUCCAGUCCAGGCCAGCAUCAGUUUUCGCCGGGGGAUAAAGGCUUCGGGAAUGUGGCUCUCUCCGGGGAGUGUUAUAGCCCGUUGCGUAAUACCCUGGCGGGGACUGAGGUUCGCGCAUCUGCAAGGAUGCUGGCGUAAUGGUCAUCAACGACCCGUCUUGAAACACGGACCAAGGAGUCGUCUUCGUAUGCGAGUGUUCGGGUGUCAAACCCCUACGCGUAAUGAAAGUGAACGCAGGUGAGAGCUUCGGCGCAUCAUCGACCGAUCCUGAUGUUCUCGGAUGGAUUUGAGUAAGAGCAUACGGGGCCGGACCCGAAAGAAGGUGAACUAUGCCUGUGUAGGGUGAAGCCAGAGGAAACUCUGGUGGAGGCUCGCAGCGGUUCUGACGUGCAAAUCGAUCGUCAAACAUGGGCAUGGGGGCGAAAGACUAAUCGAACCUUCUAGUAGCUGGUUUCCGCCGAAGUUUCCCUCAGGAA